rnacentral:rRNA from 1 species
AGCAGCCGCGGUAAUUCCAGCUCCAAUAGCGUAUAUUAAAGUUGUUGCAGUUAAAAAGCUCGUAGUUGAAUUUCGGGAUCGACGGGUCGGUCGCGCCUCUGGUGUGUACUGGCCCUGUCGGUUUCUCCCUUCUGACGAACUGCGAUGUCAUUAAUUUGGUGUCGUAGGGAAUCAGGACUGUUACUUUGAAAAAUUAGAGUGUUUAAAGCAGGCAUUCGCUUGAAUACAUUAGCAUGGAAUAAUGAAAUAGGACGUUUGAUCUUAUUUUGUUGGUUUCUAAGAUCGACGUAAUGAUUAAUAGGGAUAGUUGGGGGCAUUAGUAUUCAAUUGUCAGAGGUGAAAUUCUUGGAUUUAUUGAAGACUAACUACUGCGAAAGCAUUUGCCAAGGAUGUUUUCAUUAAUCAAGAACGAAAGUUAGGGGAUCGAAGACGAUCAGAUACCGUCGUAGU